rnacentral:misc_RNA from 1 species
UUUCCGUAGGUGAACCUGCGGAAGGAUCAUUAAAGUUAUAGUCCCCCGGCCCUCUGGGCUGGGGUCUUCUAUACCACCCUUUGUUUAUUACACCUUUGUUGCUUUGGCAGGCCUGCCCUCGGGCUGCUGGCUCCGGCCGGCUCGCGUCUGCCAGAGGACCUAAACUCUGUUUGUAUAUGAAGUCUGAGUACUAUAUAAUAGUUAAAACUUUCAACAACGGAUCUCUUGGUUCUGGCAUGAUGAAGAACGCAGC